UACGGAGGGUGCAAGCGUUAUCCGGAUUCACUGGGUUUAAAGGGUGCGUAGGUGGGUUGGUAAGUCAGUGGUGAAAUCCCCAGAGCUUAACUUGGGAACUGCCAUUGAUACUAUCAGUCUUGAAUACCGUGGAGGUCAGUGGAAUAUGUCAUGUAGCGGUGAAAUGCUUAGAUAUGACAUAGAACACCAAUUGCGAAGGCAGCUGGCUACACGAAUAUUGACACUGAGGCACGAAAGCGUGGGGAUCAAACAGG
rnacentral:rRNA from 1 species